rnacentral:tRNA from 1 species
GCCCGAUGUAGCUUAACAAUAAGCAGUGGUCUUGUAAAUCACAGAAGGCUAUAAUGCCCUAGGGCU